UUUCCGGUUGAUCCCGCCGGAGGUCACUGCUAUCGGGGUUCGAUUAAGCCAUGCGAGUCGAGAGAGUUCGGCCCUCGGCGUACUGCUCAGUAACACGUGGAUAACCUGCCCUAGGGAAGGGGAUAACCCCGGGAAACUGGGGAUAAUACCCUAUAGGUUAUAGAUGCUGGAAUGCUCUGUAACUCAAAGUUCAGGCGCCUUAGGAUGGAUCUGCGGCCGAUUAGGUUGUUGUUGGGGUAAUGGCCCAACAAGCCCGUAAUCGGUACGGGUUGUGGGAGCAAGAGCCCGGAGUUGGAUUCUGAGACACGAAUCCAGGCCCUACGGGGCGCAGCAGGCGCGAAAACUUUACAAUGCGGGCAACCGUGAUAAGGGAACCUCGAGUGCCUGUAUAUGCAGGCUGUCCAGGUGUCUAAACCACACCUGAAGAAAGGGCCGGGCAAGACCGGUGCCAGCCGCCGCGGUAAUACCGGCGGCUCGAGUGGUGGCCGCUUUUAUUGGGCUUAAAGCGUUCGUAGCUGGGUUGUUAAGUCUCUUGGGAAAUCCGGCGGCUCAACCGUCGGGCGUCUAAGGGAUACUGGCAAUCUUGGAACCGGGAGAGGUGAGGGGUACUUCGGGGGUAGGAGUGAAAUCCUGUAAUCCUCGAGGGACCACCUGUGGCGAAGGCGCCUCACCAGAACGGCUUCGACAGUGAGGGACGAAAGCUGGGGGAGCAAACCGGAUUAGAUACCCGGGUAGUCCCAGCCGUAAACGAUGUGCGUUAGGUGUAUCGACGACCACGAGUCGUCGAGGUGCCGAAGGGAAACCGUGAAACGUACCGCCUGGGAAGUACGGUCGCAAGGCUGAAACUUAAAGGAAUUGGCGGGGGAGCACCACAACAGGUGGAGCCUGCGGUUUAAUUGGAUUCAACGCCGG
rnacentral:rRNA from 1 species